rnacentral:snoRNA from 1 species
AAAUGUUUAUCAUAUGGCAGGCCCGUCCCCCUGGGUCUCUCAGAGUUCCCAUGCCAGAGCAAACUGUGGCCCUGAACCAUUGCCUGGCCUCUGCCUAUAGGCUGAAGAGGGCUGCACAGUG